UGGGGCGUCGCCAAGUGGUAAGGCAGUGGAUUUUGAUUCCACCAUGCGGAGGUUCGAAUCCUCCCGCCCCAGCCA
rnacentral:tRNA from 2 species